rnacentral:rRNA from 1 species
GAUGAACGCUGGCGGCGUGCUUAGCACAUGCAAGUCGAACGGUGAAGCAGGAGCUUGCUCUUGUGGAUCAGUGGCGAACGGGUGAGUAACACGUGAGCAACCUGCCCCUGACUCUGGGAUAAGCGCUGGAAACGGCGUCUAAUACUGGAUAUGUGAUGUGACCGCAUAGUCUGCAUCUGGAAAGAAUUUCGGUUGGGGAUGGGCUCGCGGCCUAUCAGCUUGUUGGUGAGGUAAUGGCUCACCAAGGCGUCGACGGGUAGCCGGCCUGAGAGGGUGACCGGCCACACUGGGACUGAGACACGGCCCAGACUCCUACGGGAGGCAGCAGUGGGGAAUAUUGCACAAUGGGCGGAAGCCUGAUGCAGCAACGCCGCGUGAGGGAUGACGGCCUUCGGGUUGUAAACCUCUUUUAGCAGGGAAGAAGCGAAAGUGACGGUACCUGCAGAAAAAGCACCGGCUAACUACGUGCCAGCCGCCGCAGUAA